UCUGUCCCUGGAUAAUGUGUCAGAACAUGUAGAAUACAGUUUACCUCUGAUAUUUGUAUCUGUGCUCAGAUGAGAUCAAAGCACUACCUCUGUGUGUGUGCCUGGAGGUCUUACAGUUUGGGGACCUAGCUUGCCACAGGCUGGGAACUGAGGAGAAUCAAAGCUAGAAGGCCCCAUCCAGCAGCUGAUGCAGCCAAUCACAUGGAAGUGAAAGCCAGAGUGUGCUCAUCUGUAAUCCCAGAUGCUCAGGAGGCUGAUGGAAGAAGAAUCCCAUAUGAUGUGAGACAUUUCUACAUACCAAAAUAUUUCAAAGGUAGAUGCCCAAAAGAAAAGAAAGCAUAUAUUCAAACAAAAAGGGAUAUGUUGUCCACAUCUGUCAAAGUCAUGGCAAUGAAAGAGUCCUGGCAUGAGUUCCAGAAAAGAAAACUGGAUCCCAAUAAAAAAAGGAUUUUUGUCUCAUCCAAGAGAGACAGUGAGUGUCUGGCAGUGUUUCGCAUAGACUUGCAAAUCUGGAAAAGCAAUACCCACCGGAGAAGCAACAUGCCAGACAAAGAAACAUCAAUCUUCACUCUACUGGCUAAGUGAUUAGUGAGCUUUCUCACUGUGGAGACGCAGUAUCUGACACCCACAACUAAGGAGGGGGAAGUUUUAGCUCAUGUCUGUUGGGGAUUCAGUCCAUGGCUGGCCCAAGAGGCAACAUCAUGGAGGAAGUGUGUGGCAGAAAAAGCUUCUUCAUUCAUGGUGGCCUGGAAGCAGAGCAGGCGAACAGAGAGGAAGGGGUAAGUGACCAGCUAGAGACAUCAAGGUCACCUCCAUGUCCCAUGCAGACACGCCCACAAGUGUACACCAACUAUUCCUGGGUAGAUCUCAAAGCCAAUCAAGGUGACACUCCACCUGAACUGUCAUUUACAUGACAUUGACUCUACCACGUUGUUUAUUAUACAUGUAGUUCAGCAUUAGGUAGUG
rnacentral:lncRNA from 1 species